rnacentral:rRNA from 1 species
GAUGAACGCUGGCGGCGUGCCUAAUACAUGCAAGUCGAGCGAACAGACGAGGAGCUUGCUCCUCUGACGUUAGCUGCGGACGGGUGAGUAACACGUGUAUAACCUACCUAUAAGACUGGGAUCACUUCGGGAAACCGGCGCUAAUACCGGAUAAUAUAUUGAACCGCAUGGUUCAAUAGUGAAAGACGGUUUUGCUGUAACUUCUAGAUGGAUCCGCGCCGCAUUAGCUAGUUGGUAAGGUAACGGCUUACCAAGGCGACGAUGCGUAGCCGACUUGCGGGGGUGAUCGGCCACACUAGAAGUGAGACACGGUCCAGACUCCUACGGGAGGCAGCAGUAGGGAAUCUUCCGCAAUGGGCGAAAGCCUGACGGAGCAACGCCGCGUGAGUGAUGAAGGUCUUCGGAUCGUAAAACUCUGUUAUUAGGGAAGAACAAAUGUGUAAGUAACUAUGCACGUCUUGACGGUACCUAAUCAGAAAGCCACGGCUAACUACGUG